rnacentral:rRNA from 1 species
UGUGGUGGGAGCAUUCAGUCGGGGUGAUGAGACGAUCGUUGGGACGAACAGGGUACCCGCGACGGGACCGUCCCGGCGUUCGGUUCGAGUCUCACCGACGCAUUUGCUUCCCGCCCGAAGGACGCCGCAACCGGUUGGGGGACGGCCUUAAGGGCGAGAGCCGGCAGGUGGCCGGUGGCGUGCCUCGUGCGCGUCGCCGGCUGUUAGCCUUCUCGUCACAUGGCUCGUACCCCGACCCUUGGCAAGAAAGAGGCCUAUGACUAGGCUUGGACGUCUCCUCCUAUGGAAGCGUGACAGAAACGCGACAGGGGACUGACAGGUUUGCUGGCGCACGGACCGACUCCGUGGCAUUGCUUUCCGUCGUCCUCGUUGGUUGUGUAAGGCGCGCGGGAGUGUUGACGGUUAGCGGCGAGUAGAUCGGUCACCCACCCGACCCGUCUUGAAACACGGACCAAGGAGUGC